UACGGGGGGAGCAAGCGUUGUUCGGAUUUACUGGGCGUAAAGGGCGCGUAGGCGGUCAGCACAAGUCAGUUGUGAAAUCUCCGAGCUUAACUCGGAAAGGUCAACUGAAACUGUGCGACUAGAGUGCGGAAGGGGCAACUGGAAUUCUUGGUGUAGCGGUGAAAUGCGUAGAUAUCAAGAGGAACACCUGCGGCGAAGGCGGGUUGCUGGGCCGACACUGACGCUGAGGCGCGAAAGCGUGGGGAGCAAACAGG
rnacentral:rRNA from 1 species